GACGUAGGGGGCCAGCGUUGUUCGGAAUUACUGGGUGUAAAGGGUUCGUAGGCGGUGCGGCAAGUCGGGAGUGAAAUCUCUGGGCUUAACCCAGGGGCUGCUUCCGAAACUGCUGUGCUUGAGUGUGGGAGAGGCGCGUGGAAUUGCAGGUGUAGCGGUGAAAUGCGUAGAUAUCUGCAGGAACACCCGUGGCGAAAGCGGCGCGCUGGACCACUACUGACGCUGAGGAACGAAAGCUAGGGGAGCAAACAGG
rnacentral:rRNA from 1 species